rnacentral:rRNA from 1 species
CCUACGGGAGGCAGCAGUGGGGAAUUUUGGACAAUGGGCGAAAGCCUGAUCCAGCCAUGCCGCGUGCAGGAUGAAGGCCUUCGGGUUGUAAACUGCUUUUGUACGGAACGAAACGGUCUCUUCUAAUAAAGGGGGCUAAUGACGGUACCGUAAGAAUAAGCACCGGCUAACUACGUGCCAGCAGCCGCGGUAAUACGUAGGGUGCAAGCGUUAAUCGGAAUUACUGGGCGUAAAGCGUGCGCAGGCGGUUAUAUAAGACAGUUGUGAAAUCCCCGGGCUCAACCUGGGAACUGCAUCUGUGACUGUAUAGCUAGAGUACGGUAGAGGGGGAUGGAAUUCCGCGUGUAGCAGUGAAAUGCGUAGAUAUGCGGAGGAACACCGAUGGCGAAGGCAAUCCCCUGGACCUGUACUGACGCUCAUGCACGAAAGCGUGGGGAGCAAACAGGAUUAGAUACCCUGGUAGUCCACGCCCUAAACGAUGUCAACUGGUUGUUGGGUCUUCACUGACUCAGUAACGAAGCUAACGCGUGAAGUUGACCGCCGUCGGGAGGUACGGCCGGCGAGGUUAGUAACGUACGAAAUAGUAGUUAGUACGGCGUGAGACGUAGCCGACGGACGACGACGAGGGAGGAGGG